GACCAGGUAGUGUAAUUGGCAACAUGCCGGCCUCCAAAGCCGUGCGUUCUAGGUUCGAGUCCUAGCCUCGUCGCCA
rnacentral:tRNA from 1 species